CUUCACCGACCCCAACAGGAACGGCUCGUCGCGGUCCUGCCCGUACGUGGCCAGCAGGGCCUGCGCCUC
rfam:Micromonospora echinofusca strain DSM 43913 genome assembly, chromosome: I